GUCAGUGGGGAGGAGAGGCUGGACAGUAAUCAGCGGCCUGGUAUCAUUUCAUGGUUUUAGGCAGAGGGUAGACAUACGUGAGAUUUAGGUUAUACUGGUCGGUGUUUUGGGACCAGAAAUUAUGGUCUUUCUCCGUGCCUGGUGUUCAGUAAUAAAUAUCUAUUUGAGAGCCUUCAUUGGGCAGAGUGUGUCUGCAGGAAUUCUUUCCCUAAUAUUGCAGACUACAGAUAAUAGCGAUUAAAGAUGGUCAUAGUUAAUUUCGAUCUUGCACUAGUUUAACAACACAAAAUGUUUUGUGUAGUUCAGUAAUGGUAACCUGAUUAUAAUAAAUCCACACCGAGCUGAACGCUGCCCCUUAAAAUGUGACCCAAAAUCUGGGUACAGUAGUGUAGUGGGUAGUGUCCCUGUCUCUGAGCCAAGGCACUGGGUUUGAUUCCAAUUCCUGAAAUUGUUUGGUAGUGUUCCUAGCUCUGGACCAGAAGGUGUGGAUUCAUGUCCUGCCUGCUGCAGAGGUAUGUCUCAGCAUGUCAUAACAGGCUGAUGGACAAACACAGUGAAUAAUGUUACAGCUUUAUGGGUAUUGCCGAGUGGUGCUCGUGUCCCUACCUCCGGGCACAAAGGUCUAGGUGUAAAUCCCACAGAAGUGUCUCCUAAUAUAUCUGAACAAACUGAUGAAACUGGUUUUAGAAUUGUGACUUGAUGGAGAAAGAACAGGUGUCAGUGUUGAAUUUCAGCAUUUCGGCCCAGGAUUAUUGAAAGUACAGCCAUUCGUGUUGAUUGGAGUCACAUUUCGCAGCAGUAAAGGUUUAUAAAAUCAGAACGGUCAUGGAUAGGGUUUGUAGUCAAGGCUUUUCCCCAGGUUAGGGGCGUCCAAAACUAGAGGAUAUUGGUGGAAAGUGAGAGGGGAAAGGUUUUGAAGAGGCCUAAGGGGCACCUUUUCACACAGAGGGUGGUGUGCGUAUGGAAUGAGCUGCCAGAGGAAGUGGUGGAGGCUGGUACAACUACAUCAUGUAAAAGGCAUCUGGAUGCUGACAGACCUGGUGAGUUUUUCCAGCAAUUUCUGUAUUUGUUAAAACAAAGAAUUCAUUUUAACACAGGUAUCUGUGUUAGCUGGCUGGAUACAGAAUUGGCUGGCCAACAGAAGACAGUGAGUGGUAGUGGAAGGAAAAUAUUCUGCCCGGAAGUCUGUGGGACAUAUAAAAAAUAUCUUCAAAUCGACCAAGACCAUUUUCUGCUCAGGGUAUGGCUCUGUGUAUGACAGCAGCAAUGAUGCACCGACAUGGAACAGGGAAUGUGAUGGAGACAUAGUUUGGACAAUGUACAAGGAGACCUCACAUGGUCCAGUAUUGGGAGAGAAUGACAUUAUUGUGUGAUUCAACUCAGAGAGGGAGACAAUGUCAUCUGCCAGAGAAGAAACAGCCUAUUGCACUCCCUCUCCUUCAUUAUUCCCCAUCACAGUAACGUGUACGAGCUAAAACAAAAGUCUACUGUCAUCGUUACCAUUCUUAUUUUUAUAGAAUCCUGCAGUGUGGAAACAAGCCCUUCGGCCCAACAAAUCCAUACCAACCUUCCAAAGAGUAACCUUCCCAUGCCCUUACAGUUACCACUGACUAGUGCACCUAAAGUAGAAAUCGCUGAACACUGUGGACUAUUUGACCAACCCACUUGAAUUAUACAGCUUUGGGCUGUGGGAGGAAAUGGGAGCGCCCAUCAGAAGCUCACGCAGACAAGGGGAGAAGAUGCAAACUCCACCCAGAUAGUCGCCCGAGGCUGGAAUUGAACUCAUACCCCUGAUGCUGUGAUGGAACACUGCGAACUCCUGAGCCACUGUGCUAACCUGGAACCUCCUGACUGCCGAAUGCAAAGGGAAUUCAGCCCAAUUCCAACUGUCCCAGGAUAAAAUCCCAUUGCUAGCAGCUGUAUGCAAUGUUACUGGACAAACAACUCGGUGUGAAGCAUAACCCCAUUUGCUUAAAUACGAUAGAUGAAAUAAAACCAAAGAAAGAAGAAUUUAGAAUAAUGUAAUUAUAUUGGACAAGUUAACAGAACAAUAGAUCUAGGAACUAAUACUAAUGAACUGUUCCAAUACUGGAAAAUCACAUGAACACAGCCCUUGGAAAAAAGGAAUAUUCAGACACUGAAUGACACAAAUAUUUCUCCAAUUCAGGAUUUAAAAACAGCACCAAGAGAAAAUUCAUAGAGAGGAGCUGCCAGGAGACAUUCACUAAAACUUUCAACUCGGUGGAGACCCCAAUAAUUUCUGAUGUUACUGAGAAACCGAAACCCAGAAAUCCUAAUCUGUGAAAGCUGACCACACCCAUUCCAUCUGCAUUAAAAUAAACCCAAGGCCUCACUAGUUGUUUAUUCAAGUGGUCCUAACUAGCCAGCUUGGUAACGGUCAUUCAAUCUCUCUCUUAAAAUAAACCAGAACAAAAUAACUUCUUAAAGCUACAGCAUCAUCACACUAGUCAGCACAUCGAGCUGUCAUUCAGGAACCAGGGGUAACACAAUCAGGCCUUUGACCCAAUCGGACGAGGAAGAAGCCAGUCAGUCCCUUGAGUGACUUACACAGGAACAGUAGGAGGCCAUUCCCACCUCAAUGCACUUACACGGGGCAGAAUGAGGUAAUUGAUGCUGAUUCCUGAUGAACGGCUUAUGCUCGAAACGUCGAUUCUCCUGCUGUGCUUUUCCAGCAAACUACUCUGAUCUUCAGCAUCAACAGUCCUCGCUGUCUCCUAAUUGAUGCUCUAACAUGAUGACCAAGUGGAGCAGAGGCUGCACACACAGACUGCUCCACGUUGUUCCUCGUAGCUCCGUCUGUCAUGAUACACACGUGGGACUUUAACGUGGUUUUCUCGCGGUGAGGAGGGAAGCCAUAUGUCUUGUGUGAAGUUACAAGAAGGCUCCUUCCAUCUCCGGGAAGCCAGCCUGGUGUUCUCUAUGUAGGGUGGAUGCUGAUGGGAAUGGCUACCUGUUUCAGAUGGAAGGUAUUGUGGCUGCUGUUGGGGAUUGUGAGCAACCUGACGUUCAGUUCGGGUUCACACGCCGACUACACAAUAACGUGGGAAGAGUUAAUUAAGGCAUAUAAACUAUUAGGAAAGUCACGUUAGACUGAUGGAUGGACUCUCUAAAUUCAAAUAAUGCUGAUCUUGUUCAUGUUGAUCUUGUCUAGUGCACAUCCUGUUCAAUGUAACCGUUAUGCCUUACUCUGUCCAAGUCUAUUUCCACCCUAUGAUCUGUCUGGCCAUGUUUACUAUGAUCUGCCUCCACUGCUCAUAAAUAAAGUGUUUCCCUGUACUGAGGUACACGUGACAAUAAAUCAAACCAAUAACUCC